AGCGCUAUUUAGGUUAGAGUUUGAUCCUGGCUCAGGACGAACGCUGGCGGCGUGCUUAACACAUGCAAGUCACGGGGGCCCGCAAGGGCAACCGGCGAACGGGUGCGUAACACGUGAGCAAUCUGCCGAUUUCUGGGGGAUAGCCGGCCCAACGGCCGGGUAAUACCGCAUACGCUCAUUGGGGGACAUCCCCUGGUGAGGAAACCUCCGGGGGAAAUCGAGGAGCUCGCGGCCUAUCAGCUAGUUGGUGAGGUAACGGCUCACCAAGGCGUCGACGGGUAGCUGGUCUGAGAGGAUGGCCAGCCACAUUGGGACUGAGAGACGGCCCAGACUCCUACGGGAGGCAGCAGUGGGGAAUCUUGCGCAAUGGCCGAAAGGCUGACGCAGCGACGCCGCGUGUGGGAUGAAGCAUUUCGGUGUGUAAACCACUGUUGCCUGGGACAAACAGCUUCUUUCGAGGAGCCUGACGGUACCGGGUGAGGAAGCACCGGCUAACUCCGUGCCAGCAGCCGCGGUAAUCGCCC
rnacentral:rRNA from 1 species